rnacentral:rRNA from 1 species
UAGUCCACACCGUAAACGAUGAAUGCCAGACGUCAGGGGGCUUGCCCUUUGGUGUCACACCUAACGGAUUAAGCAUUCCGCCUGGGGAGUACGGUCGCAAGAUUAAAACUCAAAGGAAUUGACGGGGGCCCGCACAAGCGGUGGAGCAUGUGGCUUAAUUCGAUGCAACGCGAAGAACCUUACCUGGGCUUGACAUACUAACCCUCCUUUGGAGGGGUGUUAGCGAAAGCUACUUUAAAGAUACAGGUGCUGCAUGGCUGUCGUCAGCUUGUGCCGUGAGGUGUUGGGUUAAGUCCCGCAACGGGCGCAACCCUUGUCGUUAGUUGCCAUCAGACAGUGAUGUGCUGGGCACUCUAACGAGACUGCCCGUGAUAAGCGGGAGGAAGGUGGGGAUGACGUCAAGUCAGUAUGGUCCUUAUGCCCAGGGCUGCACACGUGCUACAAUGGACGGUACAAUGGGUCGCCAAACCGCGAGGUGGAGCCAAUCCCCAAAACGUCCCCAGUUCGGA